ACAUUUAACAAAACAAAACAUUUCACGGACCACAACAACAUUUCAGGUUAUGGAGAGGGUUGGACAGCACUUAAAAAGUUAGACAGCAUUAUUAUCUUCAGUCUGUUGUUUAUGUGUUCUUUUCACUGUGAAUUUUAGUGCCCUCACUGCAAAGCAAAAUGAAGUUAAUCUGCCCCUGUGUGCUGGAGACAAAGGAUUCUGCCUCAUCAAUGAUGAAGAUGAUGUUUCACUGGACAGGAGCCUUGCUUCCUUACUUUUACAUUCAGGUUGCUUUGAUUUUCCAUUGUUUGAUUCCCGAAGUUUAGUUUCUUUUUUUCAGGAACAUUAUACAUCCAGAAGUGUUGGAACAGCAAGUAACAAAAUUAUACGUUGACAGGUAAUAUGACUCAGGCACUAGAUUCUGUCAUAUUUUAAAGUUUUCCGUUGUUUAAUGAGAAGACUGUAUAAAUAACAAUUACAUUCAUGUUGUCGUAUCUGCAAGAACUAAACGUAAACAACAUGCAACUCUAGUAAUAUAUCCAUGGGUACGACGCAUAUUAUUUGUGAGGGAUCUCUGCGGUGAUUUGAUAUAUUUCGACCAAUCAGAAGCAGAUGCUAGGCGGAGCAGAGUCAUUCGACCAAUUAGCUUUUGCUCACCAACGUUCGCUGGCGUGUGUCGUCAUCGAUCAUGAUUUCCUGUGGAAGAGAUGAGCGGCGGAGAAAUGUAGUCAAAGAAAGGGGUGAAAAUGUGGAACAAGACCAAUGUUUGAGUGGUCGCUUUGUCGCUUUGGUUUGUUAGCACUGUGAAACACGUUAUUACUGAAGAAUGGAUGCUAAAACAAACUUAAGACCUGUUAUAGCGAACUCGAGUGAGCCUGGACGCUGAACACACCUGCGGCGUGAAGGACUCAAAGUUAAACCAGGAAACACUUGAGAAGAGAGGAGAGAGAGAGACAUUAAGAUUAAAAGGACUCAAAUCACAGCCAGCAAAUACUUCAGCUUGUAAAGAAGAGACACACAUGAAGACAUUUACAGAAGGUCCAGACCUUCAUUUGUGCUGCUGACGUCAUCUUCCCCUCCUCCUCCUCCUGUGGAGACAGAACACGUUUGUUAAUAAUUAUGUCUCAUUUUGUUUUGAUAGUAUUAUUGAUUACUUAACAGAUUUCUUUUACAUUACUGAUUAUUAUUACCUCUAUUUUACAUCAUUAGUUUACUUAUACUAUAUGGCUUGUGUUUAUCUCAAAUUUGAGACACAGCUAAGCUGUCUUUUUUCUUAAUGAUUAUUUUUUACAAAGUUUCAGAACUAUUUUGUUCCCUGAUCUGUUUUAAAAGAAAUAAAAUUAUUU